CAUGCCUUGCUGCUUCCUGGUUCUUCACGUUUCACUGCUGUUCUUUUCUCUCAGCACUGAUCUCUGAAUAAUUGUAAAGGGGACAGGUCUCUCUAGGGCCCGGUGCAAAUUUCUACCCUAAAGUCUUUCUUUUAAAAGUGAGUGCUGCAGCAUGCCUAUAUUUAAGAUUUCUCAACUGGAUGUGCAUUGAAAGGCUACUAUUUUUAGACAGCAUUCAACACCUUCUGUGGAAAGGAGCUUGAAAACAGUGUCAGGGUGGGCAUUCACAGUUCAAGGUACUGAAAAGCACAGAUUUCAGAAAUCUUGGUCUAGGAAGAAAGUUCAGCGUCUGGGUAGAGUGCUGGGUCUGUGUUUGUUUUGCUACCUUGGUAUUGUAAUGAACUCCCCAGGUGGUUUUCAGGAGAUACUAUGACAAAAUCUUUCCAACCAAUUCUAAAGUCUGCUUUUAUGAUAUGUCCUCCUACCUUUUUAAUUAUGGUUUUGAGAACCCCACUGGAUUCCAUUCCAUAAACUAUUACAUAUAAAUAUUACUUUCCUACUUCACUCCAAUUAUUUUCCCCUUCCCAAAUGUAGCCCAGCAGUCCUACAUACUUUUUGUCUGCAAAGUUGCAUGCUUCUUCCAGUUCACACUGGUCAUUGCUUCUAUCUUUACUAAAUUCUUUUAUUCUAACUAUGAUAUAUUUGCAAGCAACGCAUAAAUUUUGGUGCAAAGGUAUUUUCCUUCAUAGAAGAUCUAUUUAUUAUUUCUUUAUGGUCAGUAGAUGCACUGUUAAGAACUGAUGAUACAUAGACACACUUCUUGGAUCUACUGGAUGUGGCUUGUUUGUAGGAACAGAGAUGAAAAAGCAGCUGAGUCUCCAACAAACAGUAUCCUAGGAAAAAAAAAAAAAAAGGAUAAAGCUGCAACAAAACUCCCUUGUUCCAGGUGCUGUUGUGUCUCUCUCCACAGCAACAAUAUUCAGCCCUGUCAGAGCAAGUCUGGCAGUUGACUGUAUUUGUUGUGUAGCUGGGAAUUGUGCUGCUGCUGAAAACUGUGUAUUCUAGCGCUGGCUUUCAGUGUGUGCUAUUAACUCCUUUCACCUUGGCUCUGCGAGAUGCUAUAAGCUUCCCAAAAGAGGCAGACAUUGAAUUCUGCUCGUUUUCAGCACUUGGACGUGCUUUCAUCGUUUCCCAGUUCCUGCAAAUUCCAAUUAGGUUCACCCUCUGCUGUGAAUACAGAAAUCAGCACUUUCUAUAGGAUUAUCAGUACAAUCCUAAAUAGCAUAAACCCCCAACGGAUGCUUUACACACUGACUAUAGCAACUUGUACAUUCCAGACUCAUUGGAAAAGUUUAAUUAUCUUGCUCUGCUUUUUCUUGUGUUGACCACUUUGUUGUUUGUACAGUAACUAACUGCUGUUUAAAUUGAAGACGUAGCAAGCCUUCACAAACAACCAAAACAUUGCUACAUUUCUCUGUUUCUUUGCUCAAAGAUCAAGAACACUUGAAGAUUUUGCAGAGUACUGACCACUGUGACAACUGCAGAGCACACCUUGAGGAGGUUGUUACAGCAAUGAGGAUGUCUCUGCUGACUUCACAGUGCAUUGGAUGAGCUGCUUUACCUGGUGAACAGGAGAUACGAAGGUGGAAACCAAGCUGUGACAAAACCUGCUUCUCACCGUAUUUACAAGUGUUUUGUUUCUCAUUAAUUAAUAUCAUCUGUUGGAGAUGGCCCUUGAGUUAUGAGCCUGUGCGAAUUUCUCAGCUUCCUUCCUUUCUUUCUACUGGGAAUGGGAAAAAGACAGUUGCUUUCAUCCAUCAUUACUCCUAUUUUGGAAAACUUGUUGCCUCCUUUGCCACUUUGAUUCUCGUCCUCUUCCUAUCUCCCUGGUAAUCUCUUUGUUUGUGAAGGGCAUUGCAGGGAUCUGUAUGCUGUUAUGAGUGAAUCAUAGAAAAUCCUGACUUGGAAGGAAUCCACAAAGAUCAUCAAGUCCAACUCCUGGCUCUGCAGAGGACAACCUAAACUCUACUAAGAGUAUCCUAAACUGUGCUAAGACUAAGAGCAUCAAUUCCUUUAAAUCAUCCUCUCAGUGCUCUGUGCUUCCAUUAGAACCAAACUGGGAAGAUUUCGACACCAAAUGACACCUACCCAACUCCACUGUCUUCCCACGACAGUUGAGGGUAGUGGCCAACUGUAAGGAAAUUCCAGGACUGCUCAGAGGCGUAUCUCAGAGAGCUCAUGUUUUAACAGGCUGCCCUUGAGAUAAUGGUGAGAAUUUGCAAGUUUUGUCCCCUCUCCAUUAUUUUGCUCUGUAUAUCUGCAGCAAUUAUCAAAAAGGAAGCACUGCAUGGGAUAGGUGGGACUUUGAGAAACAACUGUGUGAUAUACAUUCUGGGACUGGCAAAUGUGGUCAACAUAUCUCUGAACUCACAUGACAGCACUUUCAGUCUGAGUUUAAAACCAGUAACUGCAGGAAGAGAAGGUGGAAACCAGAGCUUGGGCUGGUCCCUGAGUCUGACAUCACAUCUUCAAACAAUGACCUGAAUGCAGGAGGUUUUAUAGAUUUCUCAUCUCUUUACCUAUUUUCAUUAAUGGAAAAGUUGCAUCUAAAGCAAAUGUGUGUUGGAGUGGAAAUUCUCUUCUUUCCCCUUUUAUUCCGUUUGCUUUCCUUGUUAGAAUGACAGAAUGAUUUGAGUUGGAAGGGACCGUCAAAGGUCACCUGGUCCAACUCCCCUGCAGUGAACAGGGAUGCCCACAGCUUCAUCAGGAGCUCAGAGCCCCAUCCAGUCUGCCCUUGAAUGUCUUUAAGAAUGGGGUAUCCACCACCACUGUGGGCAACCUGUGCCAGUGCCUUACCACUUUUAUUGUACUAUUUAGCAUAGUACUGAGUGUUCUAAAGUGCAAAGGGAUUCAUUCCCUCUCUGUCAUGUGAUACAGGGAUCCCACUUAUAGCGUCCCCAUUCCUUGGUCUGGCCACCUUAAACAGGGAAGAGCAAUAUGGACUGAAAAGGAUAUAAAUGCUUGAGAAGCCCUGGGGUCAGUAUACUGAGACGUGUGAGCUCCUGUGACACAGUGAAAAAGAAGAAAAUGAAUGGGUUAAUGAUUGGACUGGAUGAUCUUAGUGGUCGCUUCCAACCUUAAUGAUUAUUUGAUUCUGUGAAUGAAGUUGUAGGUGUAAAGCAUGCUCCAGCACAGAGACUAUUGACAGGAAUUACAUUGCUCAAUCCCAAAUCCCAUAAAGGAAAUAAAAAAAAAAGACUAACUUAAGCUUGUGGUUACAUUAAAUGGGAUUUAUCAGAAAGAGCUGAUAAGGACCAUAGCAAUUAAAAGGUGUUACACGGGGACUUAUUCCCUUUGAAGACUGGAUGAGCCUCACUUGAUUAUCUAAUCUGAUCUAAUUCAUCAUGCAGAUCACCGACUUUUGUUCUGUGGCUCUUAGAACAUACUCCAAAACUGCAGUGCCUGGACUGCUUGGAUCAUGGAUGGAUCCAUAGUGUUACAACCAUAGGUUUGAAGAAGCCUAGUUGGCCAAUUACUUCAUUAGAUUAGAGCAGAGAGAAGUUCAAAAUGGUUGAACUUGGAAUGGAAAGGAUCUUUGUGUCCAUUUGGCUAUGCUCUAGCAGAGACAUCCAGAGUAGGAUACCCAUGUCUAGGCCACAAAGGAUCAUGUCCAGAUAACCUUCCUAGACACCAGAAUGGAUGUGAGCAGCCAGUUCUGGAAGGCAAUGGAAGUCAAUGAUGAAGAUACAGACUUUUCCAUCUCUAGCCACUGAGCCAGAACAGGCUUUGUCCUUGAUGGGACAGUAGGUAACAGCUUUAAGUUGUGCCAGGGGAGGAUAUUAGGAAAAAAAAUAUUCUCCAAAAGAGUGGCAAUGCAUUGGAACAGGCUGCCCACGGAGGUGGUGAGUUCAUGGAGAUGUUCUAGAAAAGGCUAGAUGUCCCAUUGAGUGACAUAGUUUAGUGGGAUGGUGGUAAUAUGUUGGGGUUGGACUUGGUGAUCUUAGUUGCCUUUCUUACCUUAAUGAUUCUAUGAACCCUCGCUUUGCUGGCAUAGAGACAACUGAGAUACUGAAGUAUCUGCUUUAGAAGGUGUUCUGGUAAGUUGAGUCACAUAGGUCGCAAAAUUUCAGCUUUCUAUGGAUUUGUUCAGCUCUGUCCACUGCCACAUACAAAGUGCAUUUGGGAGCUUAAUGCUAGAGCCGGCAGGGGAGGAGAUGGGGAGGAAGCAGAGCAGGUUUUAUUGAUCACUUUCACCUCCAAGCUGCUGUUUCCAGCUUUCUGAGGACACCUUGCAGCUCACAACUCUGCUGAAGCACCAAGUCAAGCAGCUUGGCAGCAGCAAUCACUCACUCCUGUGCUUUAAAACCUUCCCUAAUGCCACUGAACUCAAAGUGGGAGAUCGUAUCCAAGGUGGAUGCUGGAGGUUCAGUGAUGGACAGCUACUCAAAAAAUAAACAGCCAUCUUUAUUGUCUUGCUGCCAAUAAGGACUGGUACAGAGUCGGUUGGGCAAAUGGAAGUCAUUGAUGGAAAUGCAGUCUGAAGGGCAGAAGGUGGAUAAGUAAGAGACAACAGGAGUGCUAGACAGGAUUGACUGUGCAUCACCAAUUAGAUCCAACGGGAAGAAACCAGUGAGUUUUUCAGGCGGUCUCCCCUUGUAAAGUUAAAAUAAUGUUACACCCAAUGACCUGCCCACCCAGGUUGGUUGCAAAAGCACCAGAAAAAAUGAAGAGCAAGUGGGAAAACGUGCAAGUACUCAUCUCUGAGGACACCAGGGAGUAAACAGGUCAUGUGAAGGCUUGGAUUCAAGUCAAGUUUAGCAGUCUAAGAGUUUCAGAUAGGCAUGAUGGUCUGGACCCUCACCAUCAUGCUAGAACAGGCAAUCUGGAGAAGUUGUGGUUGCCCAAGGGGUUCAAGGCCAGGAUGCAUAGGGCUUUAGGCAGCCUGAUCUGGAGACUGAUCUAGUGAUUGGCAACCCUGCCUGUGACAGGGGGAUUGGAAGUUGGUAAUUCUUGAGGUCCAUUCCAACCCAAGUUGUUCGGUGAUUCUGUGGUGCAUGGAAAAGUGAACUGUUGUAGAUGGGAUGAACUUGCUUUGCCUCAGUAAUUCCCUGCUCUCCCUUUUCAUUGCAUGACAGCACUAGCUGACUAUCUUGUGCUUGGCUUAACUCACUGAAAAAAAACCCAACCCUCCAUCAGAAGAAAAAAACAAGAAAAUCCAGGCUUGAAUGCCCAAGUGACAUCUUGUGAGAGACACGACCCACAAUCAGCUGUGAGAAGGGUGAGAACAGGAGGCUGAAAGGAGGGCUGCCUUGGGUGCUGAGCAAGAGAGAUUAUUUGGAGUGGAUCAAAGGAAAGGGAAGCAGGAGGUGAUAAUGUGGGACAGCCCUUCCCCAGGAUGGGAUCUGCAGGGAAGCAGCAGGAGCCCCAGAGACCAGGGCUCUUACAGCAGGAACAGGGGAAGAAGCAAUGCAUAACCUCUAAGGAACAGUCCCAGAGCAAGCAGGGAACAUCUGUAUUGAACAACACCUCAACAUCAACAUCAGCAGCCCCAGCUCUUAUUUCUUGUCAUUGCUUUAGAAAGAAUAGUGGUUCAUUUGGAGACUGUAGGGAUUACUGUCAAAAUAUUUGACUCCAGCACAAGAAGGAUGUGGAGCUGUUGGGGAGGGUCCAGAGAAGGCCACAAAGAUGCUCAGCACCUCUUGUAUGGAGGGGCCUUCCAGUGCCUAAAGAGGGUUCAGGAGAGCUGGAGUUCUUUAUCUGGGGGUGUAGGAACAGGAAAAGGUGUAAUGACUUUAAACUAAAAGAGACCAUAUUUUACAUGGGAUAUAAUGAGGAAAUUCUUAACCACGAGGGGUUGGAAUUGUAUGGCUUUUAAGGUCCCUUCCAACCCAAGCCAUUCUGAUUGUAGUCUAUGAUUCUAUGACUCUGGGGACCAUGAGAUGGCGCAGUUCCCCCGGACAUCAUGCCCACCCCAGGCAUCCUCCCCAAAACCAUCUCCCCAGCUGAGUGUUGCGUUAAGGAGCUGCUGCUUUAUACACUGUACAACUACAUCACCUAACCCCCGUUCUCUUCUCCCUUCCUAGGGAAUAAGUGAGGUUCUGUGGGGACAAGAAAGAGCAAUCCAGCACAGUGUGCUCUGCUAUUAGCAAGUGCGAGCCUUGAAGAGAUCCCUUUCUUAAAUGGGGCUUAAAAAAGGGUAAACUGAUGGCAAAUGCAUUUAAUUUUUUUUUCCCCUGGAAAGCACUACGAGGACAUUUUACUAGCUGAUAAUGAAUGGAUGCAGAACAUAUGGCAGAGGGUGUUGGACUUCUGUGUCACAUACUCUUAUCUCCAGGAGUGGGAAGAAAAGGUCUGAGGGCGUUAGGUCCUGGUUGCAGAUAGUGUCCAGUGCUGUGUUAGGGUCUUUUUCGGGCUGGUGGAGGGGUAGCAGCCCCAGUGUCCUGGCUGAUUUCCAGGCAGAAGGGCUGUGUUGACCCUCCCUUAUGUUCUCCAUCCAUUUGAACAGGAUCCAGGUGUUUUUUUUUUCUCCUGCUUCCCUUUCCAAGCAGUUGGGUCAUCUUGCUGUGUGUUCAAGUUGCUCCCCAAAUGGUUGAGUAGUUGUGUUUUGGUGAAAAAUCUGUGUCUGCUCAUGAAUUGAAACACUUAUCUCCAUUGCAGAGAGGACCUGUGUCCCGUGGGCUCCAUCCGAUGGAUAAACGUGAUUUGGGAUAUGAAGAGGAUUUCAUCCCUUGGAGAUUGUAUUUCAUAGGAUUAUAGAAUCGUUUGAGUUGGAAGUGACCUUUAAAUGCCACCUGGUCCACCUACCCUGCAAUGAAGAGAGACACUCACAGCUCCAUCAGGUGCUCAGAGCUCUGUCCAUCCUGAUCAGCUGGUCACACAGUGGUUGCAGCCAGCCUAGAGCUUGCCUUCCUUGCACAUAAUUUGCACGUGGAGUCACACGCAUAGGCUCAUUAUGGUGCUGCCUCUGGCAGUGUACAGGAACACUCCCUGUCAGGACAGUUUGGUAUUCAUUCCCUUCAGCAUCACUGAUUCCCAGCGUGAUACAGUCUGAGCUCACCCUCCUGUUGCACCAGCACAUUUCUCUGUCUUGAAAUAUGUCUAUAAAUGUCCUCCUGGCA